rnacentral:rRNA from 1 species
AUGCUGGAUUGCAUCGGCCGCACCCACUGGUACGGCGACCUAGGCGCUGCCCAUGAGGCCGUCAGCAGGAACAAGACCACCGUUCGCCUCGACAUGGGCAGCGGCCACUCCAUUGACUCCAGGUUCGAGUGGGAGCCACAUUGUGUGAUCGACCUGGAGCGCCGUUUGGCGCAUCCUAGUGUACCUCAUCGGCGUCUUCCCGAGUUCCUGAUCAUCAGCGCUGAUGACCCGGAUGUUCUGUGCUACCUGUUGCGGAAGGAGGAGUUUCAUGGUGAGGCCUCCAUGGUCGUGGUUGACAUGAACCAUGGUCACCUGCGGUCGUCUACUCCAUAUAUCAACCGACGGCCUGAGGAUGAGAAAGCCCACAAAUAUUUUUUUGCCUUGUGUUUAUCCGUCUCUGAGUGUAAAUUUUCAGCCACUUGGCUUUGUCUUUUUUGA